GACGAUGUGGCUUGCUCGCGGAGGUU
rnacentral:piRNA from 1 species